rnacentral:tRNA from 1 species
CAAGAUAGAACUUUAAAGUGAAGUAUUUCAUUUACAUUGAAGGGAUUUCUGUGCAAUUCAGGAUGUUUUGA